UGCCGUUAUGGUCUGUUCAGAUUGUCUCAGG
rnacentral:piRNA from 1 species